CCCGACAAAGGCAAAGCCUGAGUAAUCAGGCGGCGCAAAGUUACGGGUCCUUGUUUGUGUUUUCAAAUGCGAAUCAGGAUCGCCGGACCGCCGAAG
rnacentral:ncRNA from 1 species